rnacentral:lncRNA from 1 species
UACUGACUACUCUGUGACUUGCCACUCUUCUUCCUUGGGACCAAAACCUAUUAUUGAUUCUAAGAUGGAAGAGAGAAAAUCAUAUCCAGCACAGCAAAAGGAACAACCCAAGUGAAGGAAGGACAAGGAAGACCCAAGAUUCCAGAAAGGAACAGAUGAGCUGGGAGGAUUCAAAAACAGUCACUUCACUUCUUCUUGGGAGCUCUCCUGGAGUGGAUGGUCUGAGGAGGGACCACUGAGAUAGAGGGUCUCUCUGGACAUUGACUACCUUCCAGUAAACCCCAAAUCCCUCUGUACCAGUGGAAGACAAUAAAAGUAGAUUGGGACUUGGCA